CUACGGGUGGCUGCAGUGGGGAAUCUUGCGCAAUGGGCGAAAGCCUGACGCAGCCAUGCCGCGUGAAUGAUGAAGGUCUUAGGAUUGUAAAAUUCUUUCACCGGGGACGAUAAUGACGGUACCCGGAGAAGAAGCCCCGGCUAACUUCGUGCCAGCAGCCGCGGUAAUACGAAGGGGGCUAGCGUUGCUCGGAAUUACUGGGCGUAAAGGGCGCGUAGGCGGAUCGUUAAGUCAGAGGUGAAAUCCCAGGGCUCAACCCUGGAACUGCCUUUGAUACUGGCGAUCUUGAGUAUGAGAGAGGUAUGUGGAACUCCGAGUGUAGAGGUGAAAUUCGUAGAUAUUCGGAAGAACACCAGUGGCGAAGGCGACAUACUGGCUCAUUACUGACGCUGAGGCGCGAAAGCGUGGGGAGCAAACAGGAUUAGAUACCCCAGUAGUC
rnacentral:rRNA from 1 species